rnacentral:rRNA from 1 species
AGCGAACGCUGGCGGCAGGCCUAACACAUGCAAGUCGAACGGAUCCUUCGGGAUUAGUGGCGGACGGGUGAGUAACACGUGGGAACGUGCCCUUUGGUUCGGAACAACUCAGGGAAACUUGAGCUAAUACCGGAUGUGCCCUUCGGGGGAAAGAUUUAUCGCCAUUGGAGCGGCCCGCGUCUGAUUAGCUAGUUGGUGAGGUAACGGCCCACCAAGGCGACGAUCAGUAGCUGGUCUGAGAGGAUGAUCAGCCACACUGGGAUUGAGACACGGCCCAGACUCCUACGGGAGGCAGCAGUGGGGAAUCUUGCGCAAUGGGCGAAAGCCUGACGCAGCCAUGCCGCGUGAAUGAUGAAGGUCUUAGGAUUGUAAAAUUCUUUCAGCGGGGACGAUAAUGACGGUACCCGCAGAAGAAGCUCCGGCUAACUUCGUG